GCGGGUGUAGUUUAAUGGUAGAAUAGGAGUUUUCCAAACUCUUGGUCGGAGUUCGAUUCUCCGCACCCGCACCA
rnacentral:tRNA from 1 species